GACGAACGCUGGCGGCGUGCUUAACACAUGCAAGUCGAACGGAAAGGCCCUGCUUUUGUGGGGUGCUCGAGUGGCGAACGGGUGAGUAACACGUGAGUAACCUGCCCUUGACUUUGGGAUAACUUCAGGAAACUGGGGCUAAUACCGGAUAGGAGCUCCUGCUGCAUGGUGGGGGUUGGAAAGUUUCGGCGGUUGGGGAUGGACUCGCGGCUUAUCAGCUUGUUGGUGGGGUAGUGGCUUACCAAGGCUUUGAGGGGUAGCCGGCCUGGGAGGGUGACCGGCCACAUUGGGACUGAGAUGAGGCCCAGACUCCUACGGGAGGGAGCAGUGGAGUAGAGUGCACAAGGGGCGGAAGGCUGGUGUGACAAAGCCGCGUGGGGGAAGACGGGCUUCGGGUUGGAAACCGCUUUCGCCUGUGACGAAGCGUGAGUGACGGUAAUGGGUAAAGAAGCACCGGCUAACUACGUG
rnacentral:rRNA from 1 species